CAGUCGCGCGGUAAUACAGAGGGUGCGAGCGUUAAUCGGAUUUACUGGGCGUAAAGCGUGCGUAGGCGGCUUUUUAAGUCGGAUGUGAAAUCCCUGAGCUUAACUUAGGAAUUGCAUUCGAUACUGGGAAGCUAGAGUAUGGGAGAGGAUGGUAGAAUUCCAGGUGUAGCGGUGAAAUGCGUAGAGAUCUGGAGGAAUACCGAUGGCGAAGGCAGCCAUCUGGCCUAAUACUGACGCUGAGGUACGAAAGCAUGGGGAGCAAACAGGAUUAGAUACCCCAGUAGUCCCUGUCUCUUAUACA
rnacentral:rRNA from 1 species